GCGGAUGUGGCGGAAUUGGCAGACGCGCUAGAUUCAGGUUCUAGUGCCCGCAAGGGCGUGGAGGUUCAACUCCUCUCAUCCGCA
rnacentral:tRNA from 1 species